CUACGGGAGGCAGCAGUGGGGAAUAUUGCGCAAUGGGCGAAAGCCUGACGCAGCAACGCCGCGUGGGGGAUGAAGGCUCUCGGGUUGUAAACCCCUUUCAGCAGGGACGAAACCAGACGGUACCUGCAGAAGAAGCCCCGGCCAACUACGUGCCAGCAGCCGCGGUAACACGUAGGGGGCGAGCGUUGUCCGGAUUUAUUGGGCGUAAAGAGCUCGUAGGCGGCUCGGUAAGUCGGGUGUCAAAUCCCCAGGCUCAACCUGGGGCUGCACUCGAUACUGCUGUGGCUAGAGUCCGGUAGGGGAGCACGGAAUUCCUGGUGUAGCGGUGAAAUGCGCAGAUAUCAGGAGGAACACCAGCGGCGAAGGCGGUGCUCUGGGCCGGAACUGACGCUGAGGAGCGAAAGCGUGGGUAGCAAACAGGAUUAGAAACCCUUGUAGUCC
rnacentral:rRNA from 1 species